AUGAUUCCACCCCCCUUUUUCUUGUGAAAAAAGCACCUUGAAAAGGUUUUUUUGGAUAAAGUUUCUACAACAAAGCAUCACCUUUUUUCAACCCUUUCCUUUGAUUAAGGGACCAUGUUCUUUAAUUUUCAAACUUACCAAUUACUAUACCCAUUAACUGUCAUUUAUAUUUGUCUAGCUAGCCCAACAAGUUUGUCUGGCUCCAACCACACCAUGCUUUGGUCAAGACCAAAUUAGUCCAUUAGUUACUUGAACUUUAAUUGCCUAAGAAAAGUGAACAUGAGAUGAAUAAAUGUCUGUUUGCCUCUUUUCUAGCAUGGACAUGUUUGCAUCUAUUACUUUCGACAGGACGAAAUAUGUAGAAUUUUUGAUAAUUAUGACAGAAGGGCGUGAUAUUAUCUCAUGUAUUAUACAAAGCAUUUUGUUCCCAUAAUUUUUGAAGGUUUCAUUCAUCAUCAUGUAGAGCCAUUUGGGUUGAGCAUAAUGGUGUGGCAUCUGAUCCUUUUAGAUAAAAGAAAAAGUAAAAGAAUGGGAUUGAUACUUAUGUUUUUGGUUUGAGUGACAAAAGAACACGACUCCUGAAGAUUUCGACUGCUUAUACUGUUUUAAAUUUGAUUUCAUGGAAGAUCAACAAGGAGGCAAUGACAUGUUUGGUCUUCCGUCCAAGCUGAAGGAGGCACAAACUCUUCGAAUACUAAACUACUCGAGCUUUUUCUAUCACCAAAAGGUAGAAUUCCGGGGAAAUAUGCCAUUGAUCAAGUUCUAGCAAUGUAGGGUAGGAUUUGAUGUAUGUAACAGGAGUAAAUGUUUAGUUUGUUAUAUAAUUGUGAAAAUAGCAAGUUAUUUAUAGGAUUCUAGGACAUGAUCCUAGCUAAUUAACAUAUGUUCUUUGAUUUAUAGAGAUGGGAAAGAUUGAAAUGACUUUUCUUGCA